GGGCCCGCACAAGCGGUGGAGUAUGUGGUUUAAUUCGAUGCAACGCGAAGAACCUUACCAGGGCUUGACAUCCUGCGAACCUCUGGGAAACCGGAGGGUGCCUUCGGGAACGCAGUGACAGGUGGUGCAUGGCUGUCGUCAGCUCGUGUCGUGAGAUGUUGGGUUAAGUCCCGCAACGAGCGCAACCCACGUCUUUAGUUGCCAGCAUUUAGUUGGGCACUCUAGAGAGACCGCCGGUGAUAAACCGGAGGAAGGUGUGGAUGACGUCAAGUCAUCAUGCCCCUUACAUCCUGGGCUACACACGUACUACAAUGCUACGGACAAAGAGCAGCAAGUUCGCGAGGACAAGCAAAUCUCAUAAACCGUGGCUCAGUUCAGAUCGUAGGCUGCAACUCGCCUACGUGAAGGAGGAAUCGCUAGUAAUCGCAGGUC
rnacentral:rRNA from 1 species